rnacentral:rRNA from 1 species
AAAUUGAAGAGUUUGAUCAUGGCUCAGAUUGAACGCUGGCGGCAGGCCUAACACAUGCAAGUCGAACGGUAACAGGAAGAAGCUUGCUUCUUUGCUGACGAGUGGCGGACGGGUGAGUAAUGUCUGGGAAACUGCCUGAUGGAGGGGGAUAACUACUGGAAACGGUAGCUAAUACCGCAUAACGUCGCAAGACCAAAGAGGGGGACCUUCGGGCCUCUUGCCAUCGGAUGUGCCCAGAUGGGAUUAGCUAGUAGGUGGGGUAACGGCUCACCUAGGCGACGAUCCCUAGCUGGUCUGAGAGGAUGACCAGCCACACUGGAACUGAGACACGGUCCAGACUCCUACGGGAGGCAGCAGUGGGGAAUAUUGCACAAUGGGCGCAAGCCUGAUGCAGCCAUGCCGCGUGUAUGAAGAAGGCCUUCGGGUUGUAAAGUACUUUCAGCGGGGAGGAAGGGAGUAAAGUUAAUACCUUUGCUCAUUGACGUUACCCGCAGAAGAAGCACCGGCUAACUCCGUGCCAGCAGCCGCGGUAAUACGGAGGGUGCAAGCGUUAAUCGGAAUUACUGGGCGUAAAGCGCACGCAGGCGGUUUGUUAAGUCAGAUGUGAAAUCCCCGGGCUCAACCUGGGAACUGCAUCUGAUACUGGCAAGCUUGAGUCUCGUAGAGGGGGGUAGAAUUCCAGGUGUAGCGGUGAAAUG